rnacentral:rRNA from 1 species
GGGGAAUUUUGGACAAUGGGCGAAAGCCUGAUCCAGCCAUGCCGCGUGAGUGAAGAAGGCCUUCGGGUUGUAAAGCUCUUUCAGUCGGGAAGAAAAGGCACGCUCUAACAUAGCGUGCUGUUGACGGUACCGACAGAAGAAGCACCGGCUAACUACGUGCCAGCAGCCGCGGUAAUACGUAGGGUGCGAGCGUUAAUCGGAAUUACUGGGCGUAAAGCGUGCGCAGGCGGUUCGCUAAGACAGGUGUGAAAUCCCCGGGCUUAACCUGGGAACUGCGCUUGUGACUGGCGGGCUAGAGUACGGCAGAGGGGGGUGGAAUUCCACGUGUAGCAGUGAAAUGCGUAGAGAUGUGGAGGAACACCGAUGGCGAAGGCAGCCCCCUGGGCCGAUACUGACGCUCAUGCACGAAAGCGUGGGGAGCAAAC